rnacentral:rRNA from 1 species
GAACGCGAAGAACCUUACCCGGGCUUGAACUGUGGCAGAACGAUUCGGAGACGAUGAGGCCCUUCGGGGCUGCCACGGAGGUGCUGCAUGGUUGUCGUCAGCUCGUGCCGUGAGGUGUCGGCUUAAGUGCCAUAACGAGCGCAACCCCUGUUUUCAGUUGCCAUCGGGUAAUGCCGGGCACUCUGGAGAUACUGCCACCGCAAGGUGUGAGGAAGGUGGGGAUGACGUCAAAUCAGCACGGCCCUUACGUCCGGGGCUACACACGUGUUACAAUGGCGCAUACAGAGAGUUGGUGGCAUGCGAGUGUCAUCUAAUCCUUAAAGUGCGUCUCAGUUCGGACUGGGGUCUGCAACCCGACCCCACGAAGCUGGAUUCGCUAGUAAUCGCGCAUCAGCCAUGGCGCGGUGAAUACGUUCCCGGGUCUUGUACACACC